rnacentral:rRNA from 1 species
GCGCUGCAUUAGCUAGUUGGUAAGGUAACGGCUUACCAAGGCAACGAUGCAUAGCCGACCUGAGAGGGUGAUCGGCCACACUGGAACUGAGACACGGUCCAGACUCCUACGGGAGGCAGCAGUAGGGAAUCUUCCGCAAUGGGCGAAAGCCUGACGGAGCAACGCCGCGUGAGUGAUGAAGGUCUUCGGAUCGUAAAACUCUGUUAUUAGGGAAGAACAUAUGUGUAAGUAACUGUGCACAUCUUGACGGUACCUAAUCAGAAAGCCACGGCUAACUACGUGCCAGCAGCCGCGGUAAUACGUAGGUGGCAAGCGUUAUCCGGAAUUAUUGGGCGUAAAGCGCGCGUAGGCGGUUUUUUAAGUCUGAUGUGAAAGCCCACGGCUCAACCGUGGAGGGUCAUUGGAAACUGGAAAACUUGAGUGCAGAAGAGGAAAGUGGAAUUCCAUGUGUAGCGGUGAAAUGCGCAGAGAUAUGGAGGAACACCAGUGGCGAAGGCGACUUUC